GUAAGGAAUAUUGGACAAUGGUGGCAACACUGAUCCAGCCAUGCCGCGUGAAGGAUGAAGGCCCUAUGGGUUGUAAACUUCUUUUUUACGGGAAAAAACCCCUGAACGAGUUCGGGGCUGAUGGUACUGUAAGAAUAAGGGUCGGCUAACUCCGUGCCAGCAGCCGCGGUAAUACGGAGGACCCGAGCGUUAUCCGGAUUCAUUGGGUUUAAAGGGUGCGUAGGCGGAUUUGUAAGUCAGUGGUGAAAUCUCCCGGCUCAACUGGGAAACUGCCAUUGAUACUGUGAAUCUUGAAUACAAUUGAUGUAGGCGGAAUAUGACAUGUAGUGGUGAAAUACUUAGAUAUGUCAUAGAACACCGAUUGCGAAGGCAGCUUACAAAGUUGUUAUUGACGCUGAGGCACGAAAGCGUGGGGAGCAAACAGGAUUAGAAACCCCAGUAGUCC
rnacentral:rRNA from 1 species